rnacentral:rRNA from 1 species
UACAGAAGGGGCAAGCGUUGUUCGGAAUUACUGGGCGUAAAGGGCGCGUAGGCGGCCUGUUAAGUCGAACGUGAAAUCCCCGGGCUCAACCCGGGAACUGCGUCCGAUACUGGCAGGCUUGAAUCCGGGAGAGGGAUGUGGAAUUCCAGGUGUAGCGGUGAAAUGCGUAGAUAUCGGGAGGAACACCAGUGGCGAAGGCGACUUCCUGGCCUGUUCUUGACGCUGAGGCGCGAAAGCUAGGGGAGCAAACGGG